CCUACGGGAGGCAGUAGUGAGGAAUAUCGGUCAAUGGGCGCGAGCCUGAACCAGCCAAGUCGCGUGAGGGAAGACGGCCCUACGGGUUGUAAACCUCUUUUGCCGGGGAGCAACGGGCGCCACGUGUGGCGCCACUGAGAGUACCCGGAGAAAAAGCAUCGGCUAACUCCGUGCCAGCAGCCGCGGUAAUACGGAGGAUGCGAGCGUUAUCCGGAUUUAUUGGGUUUAAAGGGUGCGUAGGCGGAGCGUUAAGUCAGUGGUAAAAUUGAGGGGCUCAACCCCUUCCCGCCAUUGAAACUGGCGCUCUUGAGUGGAAGAGAAGUAUGCGGAAUGCGUGGUGUAGCGGUUAAAGGCAUAGAUAUCACGCAGAACCCCGAUUGCGAAGGCAGCAUGCCGGCUUCCGACUGACGCUGAAGCACGAAAGCGUGGGGAUCGAACAGGAUUAGAUAUCCGUGUAGUC
rnacentral:rRNA from 1 species